CCUACGGGAGACAGCAGUGAGGAAUAUUGGUCAAUGGACGAGAGUCUGAACCAGACAAGUAGCGUGAAGGAUGACUGCCCUAUGGGUUGUAAACUUCUUUUAUAUGGGAAUAAAAUGUUCCACGUGUGGGAUUUUGUAUGUACCAUAUGAAUAAGGAUCGGCUAACUCCGUGCCAGCAGCCGCGGUAAUACGGAGGAUCCGAGCGUUAUCCGGAUUUAUUGGGUUUAAAGGGAGCGUAGGUGGAUUGUUAAGUCAGUUGUGAAAGUUUGCGGCUCAACCGUAAAAUUGCAGUUGAAACUGGCAGUCUUGAGUACAGUAGAGGUGGGCGGAAUUCGUGGUGUAGCGGUGAAAUGCUUAGAUAUCACGAAGAACUCCGAUUGCGAAGGCAGUUCACUGGACUGCAACUGACACUGAGGCUCGAAAGUGUGGGUAUCAAACAGGAUUAGAUACCCGAGUAGUC
rnacentral:rRNA from 1 species